rnacentral:rRNA from 1 species
AUGCAGUCGAGCGGACCGACGGGAGCUUGCUCCCUUAGGUCAGCGGCGGACGGGUGANUAACACGUGGGUAACCUGCCUGUAAGACUGGGAUAACUCCGGGAAACCGGGGCUAAUACCGGAUGCUUGAUUGAACCGCAUGGUUCAAUCAUGAAAGGCGGCUUCGGCUGCCGUUUACAGAUGGACCCGCGGCGCAUUAGCUAGUUGGUGAGGUAACGGCUCACCAAGGCGACGAUGCGUAGCCGACCUGAGAGGGUGAUCGGCCACACUGGGACUGAGACACGGCCCAGACUCCUACGGGAGGCAGCAGUAGGGAAUCUUCCGCAAUGGACGAAAGUCUGACGGAGCAACGCCGCGUGAGUGAUGAAGGUUUUCGGAUCGUAAAGCUCUGUUGUUAGGGAAGAACAAGUACCGUUCGAAUAGGGCGGUACCUUGACGGUACCUAACCAGAAAGCCACGGCUAACUACGUGCCAGCAGCCGCGGUAAUACGUAGGUGGCAAGCGUUGUCCGGAAUUAUUGGGCGUAAAGCGCGCGCAGGCGGUUUCUUAAGUCUGAUGUGAAAGCCCCCGGCUCAACCGGGGAGGGUCAUUGGAAACUGGGGAACUUGAGUGCAGAAGAGGAGAGUGGAAUUCCACGUGUAGCGGUGAAAUGCGUAGAGAUGUGGAGGAACACCAGUGGCGAAGGCGACUCUCUGGUCUGUAACUGACGCUGAGGCGCGAAAGCGUGGGGAGCGAACAGGAUUAGAUACCCUGGUAGUCCACGCCGUAAACGAUGAGUGCUAAGUGUUAGAGGGUUUCCGCCCUUUAGUGCUGCAGCAAACGCAUUAAGCACUCCGCCUGGGGAGUACGGUCGCAAGACUGAAACUCAAAGGAAUUGACGGGGGCCCGCACAAGCGGUGGAGCAUGUGGUUUAAUUCGAAGCAACGCGAAGAACCUUACCAGGUCUUGGACAUCCUCUGACA